GAGCCUCGCACCAUUGCGCGCGCUCUCCUCACUCACACGCGAUCAAAACGAGCACAAAACACAACCAAUACAGUUAACAACAACCUUUUCCAUCCGAAAACUAUGUAAACAUUUAAUAAAGGUGAGCGGGAUCAUAACCGAGCCGCGUCUUCGCGAUCCUCAGCCCGAACAACAAAACCAUGACGCCAUUUUCUGCAAAACAACAGCCUUCGGGGAGGAAACGCGACGCGUUUACGCGUCUUAAACACACACAAGUCGCUUCAUCUUAUGUUUGAGAUCCUAAAAGAAGCUUGUUGUUGUUCUCACCGAUAAAUUCCCGGAAGAUCUUCGACUUUGGCUCUCUUGAGGUGCUCCUGGAUGUUGCGUGACGCGUCCACGCGCAUGAAUGUGACUCUCUCCAGCACACGUGCACUAUUGAGCAAACACUUGAAAUCCAUCAGGGUGCCGUGACCUAGAAGGGAAAGGAAGAAGCCCUGUAGGGAAAGUAAACGCAUAUGCUGAGACUCAACCGUAGCGGGGACAGAGGCAGCGGUGGAUAAAGGCAGGACAGACACAGUGCUGGAGUCCCAUCAGGAACCACGGGACAUCCAGGAGCUUCCAGCGUCACCACAGAUUUGCACUGCAUCAGUGAGGGACCCUUGCCUGCGAGAGAGAUCAGGUAUUUAGCAUACGUGCAUGAAUUUGUCUUAUAUGAAUUUCAUUAUCGUACAGUUUACGUUUUGCUUACAGUUUCCCGGUUUAGUGUUGACACUAUGUGGAUAAAAUGACUAUAAAGAGCGUAAACAAAUCAAAGUUGACCUGCAAACUGUGCAUUGCAGGCAUGCUAAGAAAAAUCAGGCAUGCACAAUAACUUGUAAUUGUUUUUGUACUACUUAUAAGUUGUCAAACCUAAAAGAAAAGGAA
rnacentral:lncRNA from 1 species